UUGAAAGGGAAACGAUUGAAGUCAGUCGUGCUGGCGCGAAAUCAACCCUCUCAUCGGGAGACCAUGGUGGGGCGAGGCUCAAAACCGCCACAGCAUGUGUCUCGCUUUGAGGGGGAGCACUUUCGUGUCCCCUGGUUAACAUCUAUUUCUAACGUCAUAAAAAGGCUGGGGGGAUGUGGCUCCUUCGGGAGUGUUAUAACCUUUAGCGGAAUGUGGGGUUCGGGAUUGAGGAUUGCAACGAAUACCUUUAGGGCUGUUCCACCUGGGUUCUCUUUGGGAUCCUGGGGACGACAGCUUGUUGACGUCGUUAGGAUUCGCCUUUGAACAGGUUAGAGUGUGAGCAAAUUCGUUAAGGAUGUUGACGUA
rnacentral:rRNA from 1 species